rnacentral:piRNA from 1 species
UAUAAGACAUUCUCUGUCAACCUCUUGCCA